rnacentral:tRNA from 1 species
GCGGUCAUAGCUCAGCUGGGAUGAGCGUCUGCUUGACGUGCAGGAGGUCACAGGUUCGAUCCCUGUUGGCCGCA